rnacentral:rRNA from 1 species
GUCCACGCCGUAAACGAUGGAUACUAGCUGUUGGGCACAAGUUCAGUGGCUAAGCGAAAGUGAUAAGUAUCCCACCUGGGGAGUACGUUCGCAAGAAUGAAACUCAAAGGAAUUGACGGGGCCCGCACAAGCGGUGGAGCAUGUGGUUUAAUUCGAUGAUACGCGAGGAACCUUACCAAGGCUUAAAUGUAGUUUGACCGAUUUGGAAACAGAUCUUUCGCAAGACAAAUUACAAGGUGCUGCAUGGUUGUCGU